GUACACUCCUGCGGGAGGCAGCAGUGGGGAAUUUUGGACAAUGGGCGAAAGCCUGAUCCAGCAAUGCCGCGUGUGUGAAGAAGGCCUUCGGGUUGUAAAGCACUUUUGUCCGGAAAGAAAUCCUUGGCUCUAAUACAGUCGGGGGAUGACGGUACCGGAAGAAUAAGCACCGGCUAACUACGUGCCAGCAGCCGCGGUAAUACGUAGGGUGCGAGCGUUAAUCGGAAUUACUGGGCGUAAAGCGUGCGCAGGCGGUUUGCUAAGACCGAUGUGAAAUCCCCGGGCUCAACCUGGGAACUGCAUUGGUGACUGGCAGGCUAGAGUAUGGCAGAGGGGGGUAGAAUUCCACGUGUAGCAGUGAAAUGCGUAGAGAUGUGGAGGAAUACCGAUGGCGAAGGCAGCCCCCUGGGCCAAUACUGACGCUCAUGCACGAAAGCGUGGGGAGCAAACAGGAUUAGAAACCCUGGUAGUCCCAU
rnacentral:rRNA from 1 species